GAUGAACGCUGGCGGCGUGCCUAAUACAUGCAAGUCGAGCGAACAGAUAAGGAGCUUGCUCCUUUGACGUUAGCGGCGGACGGGUGAGUAACACGUGGGUAACCUACCUAUAAGACUGGAAUAACUCCGGGAAACCGGGGCUAAUGCAGGAUAACAUGUUGAACCGCAUGGUUCUACAGUGAAAGGCGGCUUUGCUGUCACUUAUAGAUGGACCCGCGCCGUAUUAGCUAGUUGGUGAGGUAACGGCUCACCAAGGCAACGAUACGUAGCCGACCUGAGAGGAUGAUCGGCCACACUGGAACUGAGACACGGUCCAGACUCCUACGGGAGGCAGCAGUAGGGAAUCUUCCGCAAUGGGCGAAAGCCUGACGGAGCAACGCCGCGUGAGUGAUGAAGGUCUUCGGAUCGUAAAACUCUGUUAUUAGGGAAGAACAAAUGCGUAAGUAACUGUGCGCGUCUUGACGGUACCUAAUCAGAAAGCCACGGCUAACUACGU
rnacentral:rRNA from 1 species